AGAGGUGUAAGUUAAGUUGUAAACUGUAUGGUUCAUGUUCAUAUAAUAUGGCUUCGUCCUUUUCCUCUC
rnacentral:tRNA from 1 species